AUGCCAAUAUCUUACAGAUGGGGCCGCUGCCAUGGAGAACCUUCGAGCGGAACUUGCCCAGCCAAGGAGCAAGCCAGGAGAAGUGAUGCGGCUGCCGUAAAGGCAAUUGAAGAGCUGAAAGCCGAACAGGCUGCUCACUGCCGAAGCAAGAAGGAAAUGGCCGAAAUGGCUGUGAAGUUAAAGAACACUGCUGACCGCUGCAAGCUUCUUGAAAAAGAAGAUCGAGCGGAGCGGACAGGCCUGGAGAAGGCCACUACGGUGGCCAAGGAUGCUCGUUCUGCGAUGAGAGCGAUGAAGGAGGAGCUGCGUCAGGCCGGAGAUAUCGCGGCUGGAAAGCCCUUUAUGCUGCGGAUGAAGUUCAGAGAUUCGAAAUACGCUCCGUUGGACCGGAUGUGGAGUUCGACGGACGCAUAUCUGGAUUUAGCUGCGAGUGCCGCUGAUGCGGCCGAACAUUUCUGA
rnacentral:rRNA from 1 species